rnacentral:rRNA from 1 species
AACGAACGCUGGCGGCAUGCCUAACACAUGUAAGUCGAACGAGACCUUCGGGUCUAGUGGCGCACGGGUGCGUAACGCGUGGGAACCUGCCCUUAGGUUCGGAAUAACUCCCCGAAAGGGGUGCUAAUACCGGAUAAUGUCUUCGGACCAAAGAUUUAUCGCCUUUGGAUGGGCCCGCGUUGGAUUAGCUAGUUGGUAGGGUAAAAGCCUACCAAGGCGACGAUCCAUAGCUGGUCUGAGAGGAUGAUCAGCCACACUGGGACUGAGACACGGCCCAGACUCCUACGGGAGGCAGCAGUGGGGAAUAUUGGACAAUGGGCGAAAGCCUGAUCCAGCAAUGCCGCGUGAAUGAUGAAGGCCUUAGGGUUGUAAAGCUCUUUUACCCGGGAUGAUAAUGACAGUACCGGGAGAAUAAGCUCCGGCUAACUCCGUG